rnacentral:lncRNA from 1 species
CCUUUUAGAAAGACUUCCAUCAACAUGAGGUGAAACAAAUAUAGUUUUCUAGAUAACCUUCUCUUAAUCAUAAAAUUCAAUUAACUUGAAAACCUUCUCUCCAAAUAUCCUGCUUAAGAAGAUUUACUGUGCUUGUCAGGCUUUGGCGCCCUGGCUGAAAUUUCUUUGCUUAGUUAUGCUGCUAUGCAGUUCACUCCAGAUCAGUGUAUCAGGGAUGACAAAACAGUGGCACAUUCCAAGUGUCAUUCCUCAGUGUUCUUUCUGUGAGCUUGUUCUUUACCAUGGGGCUUUUUGUGUUGUAGAACACUUCUGGAUUGAAGAAAACAUUCUAACAAGGACUAGAAAAUUCCAACUCUACUUCCUAAAAUUGCGCUAUAGAACAGUGUUAAGUGAAUGCCUCAGAGAGCCACAAAUAACUUGCAGGAAUGCAUAGGGUGUCUUCCCACAACCACAGGCAGUGGAGCCUCAGUCUGUGAAACAAACAGCUCCUACCACCACGGCUGCCUUACAGAGAGGCUUAUGCCAAAGUAAUACUCUUAGCUUCUUGACCUUGAUAUUUUAAAUUUUAUAACCACAGUGACAAUCUUUAACAUCAUGUAUUAUUUAAAGCACAGGGAUGGUUUUAUAUGGAGUUAAAUGGACCUAGGAGUAAGGCUGCAUUCCUUCUAAACAUACAGUGUUGAAGUGAGCCUUGCUUGAGAAAGGAGGUUUUGGCUUAGAGGGAGACUGAGUCUUAGCUGAGUUCACCUGAGAAAUAACCAGGUUUUAAUCUUUUCAGACGGGGCAAUAUAAAAUAGUUCUUAUUAGCAUGGAAAAGGUCACUUUUGAAAGAUCGAUUCACCUUCACAGAUGAUUUAUCACUGCUUUGCAAACAAAAGAUUUUUUUUUAAUAACUUAUUUAAUAACACAGAUCCUAUGAGAAAACCAAAGUUUAGAGUUGACCCAGAUUUCUGUGAUGUUCUUCCCAUUUGAAUUCUGAAAUAAAUAAAGAAGGAACAAACAAGCAUGUGUAAUUAGUGAAGAGCAAUUUCAGUAAACAUAUUCCCUAGGGUACUCUAUUUUGAGUCACUGCUUUUUCCUUUUGAUGUACAAAGGAUGUACAUUGUCUAUGUAGGGCAAUUAUGGGAACGUCCCAACUUUGGCAUGCUUUCCAGAAUAAGCAACUUUACAGGAAGAUGGAUGAAGACAACAACUCAUCUUCACGUCAACUGUAAAUUUCUCUCUAUUUGUGUUGCAAAUGUUGAAACUAAAUUUAAACAUUGCUUGGUGUGAGGGCCUUCCAGAGGCCACAUUCUCAUGGAAUACUUUGUAUCCCACUUACUUUCUUCUGUCAGACCCUAUGAAUGAUUCCCAGUUCUGUAUCUAUCUUUACAGACACUCCUAGUUAGUAAAAUCCAGGCUUUGACCAGAAAGAGUCAGGACUUCCACCCACUACUGAAAAUUAUAGCUUAAUCAAUAACACAAUUAGACCUCCCCAACAAACUGGAUCCUACGUGCCUAUAUACUACUUAAGGUUCAUUUCUGGUUUAAUAAAGCUCUGUUCUCAACAUCAGUUGCUCCUUUGUGAAUUUGCUGAAAAGCUCAGACAUUUUAGCAUCUCUUAAAGUUCACAGCAAAGACAAUACUUAAUGUGUUUAAGGCCCAAUUAGUUAUAAAAUUAGGAAUUCAUAGUUCCCAUUUUUUUUAAUUGAGGACCCAAUUUUUGACAUUCAUUUAUUCAUACAGUGCCAAAUUACGACCUGUGCCAGAAUGUCAAUCUACCUGGAUAAGCAGAUACAGAUUUUACCUACUGCACUGGGCACUGUGGGGUAAUUAAUUUCUAAGUGUGUACUUUUUAAAGUGACUGUUUUUUACUUCAUAUGGACAAGGUAGAGAAAACAUUUAAAUCCCAUAGUGGUUUACUUCUGUUUUUUAUGGGUUAUCAUAAAUUGAUACAUCUUAGGGGAUACAAAUGAAUAUUAAAAAGCAAAAGAUUAAUAUUUUUCUUAAAAGGACACAUGCUACAAAACUUACUUUGUAGUUCCGACUUAAAUAUUACUGCGUAUUAUGUUUGCCAUUAGCCUACUUAUUAAAACAUUAACUAUAAACACCAGUCUUUCUUCCAGUACAGACUUGUUUUAUUCUAUUACCUUUCCUGAUUCUCUUCUGCUUUCUCAAAUCUUAAAUAAACUAGCAUAAGAAUCUCACUGUAGUAAGUAAGUCCCAAACUCUCCUACAAAUACUUUAUUUCUCAAAGGCAUAAGAAAGAGGUUUUGGUUCUAUUGUCUGAAUUCCUAUAAAUUUGCUUAAUAUGAUUUCAGCAAAUUUUUACUGAGUUCUUAUUCUGUAAAUCACUGUGUGCUUGGUGGUACAACAGGACACUAAGAUAAAUAGACAGUCCCUGGCUUCACUAAACUUCCAGUUUCACAUUCAAGUUUUAACCACCACAAGUAAAAUGCACUGAGAGGUCAUUCUCAAAGUGAGAAAGGAGGGAGAAAACAAAGCAGGCUUUUGUUUUUUUGCUUCUAAUCACAAUAUUUAAUUUGAACUUACUUACACUUUCGAAAGGCAUGAGAUUUGUCUAUUUCUCAAAGUAGGGAGGGGCAAAGAUUAAAAAAUGCUGAGAUACAUGGUUUUAUGGUUUAUGAAAUAUUUUCAUGUCUGUAUCUAAUUUGAGCCUUACCACAAUUAGUAAAAGAGUAGAUUUUGGAUUUAAAACCCAGGGCCUGUGUUCUUUUCAUUAUACUACAUUGUCUUACAAUAAACAAAACAAACCAGACAGUCCCCUGCCCCAAUUCCACCCAGAGCACUGUAGAUACACAUAUUCUCUUAGUCCUAACAAACUCAGUUCUUGCUAAACAUCACUUAAAGGGUAAAUUACAAUUUUAUUUCAAAUUUAAGCUAAAUCAGCCAGGUAUAAUACUUCCGAGUACAGACAAUGGACCUUAAAUCUAAAUCAUCUUCACUUUGGAGGCUUUCUCAACUACUGCUUAUUUUCCAAACUAACUUUAAGAAUAGUGUAUAGUAUAGAACAUUGCACCCAAAUCACUUGGGGAGCUUUAAAAGACACAGAUGCUGUAGCUCCAGUUCUUCAAAGCCAAUGGGUCUGAGUGGAGAUUAGGCUUUGGAAUGUCUUAGAAGUAUCCCAGGUGCAUAGUGAGAGCUGAGAACAGUGGUAAAAUGGAUGAGGAGAUCAUUAACAGGACCCAAUAAUGGUUUCGUCAAUAAAUGGAACAUUUUCAGAAUCUGUCAUGAUUAUGGAGUAAAUAAAUAUUUCCUAAUGGAAAUUCUAAUUUUGGCAUUUAGUAAAUUUAACAUGGAAGAGGCAGAAAUUGAAGUUUUCAGAUUGUGGCUUUUAUCCACAGCAGAUGGGUUACCUGUAUCUCUCACUUUAGGUUAUCUGUAGAUUAGGCAUUGCUUUCCGCCCCCAAGAUGCUGAGAUGCCACUGUUAGGAGCACAGUCUGUCUGACUGCCACAACAUGUUUAAUACUAUAGUGAAAAAGGAAUUUGGAAACUAAGCCUGCUAAACCAAGCUGAACAAACCCUUUACUAACAUCUAGAAUCAAGGAACAAUAGAACUUUGGAAUUGGAAAGUAUCUUUGUGAAUUCCUCUGGCCCCAUUCUUAAUUUAACAGAUGAAAAAACUAAUGCCCAGAGAGAGUGACCCAUCCACAGUCACAUGGUUUUCGCCUAGGAUUCCUGACUCAGUUUAGGGCUUGUUGCAGAUGGUUCUGAUUCUGCCCAAAGCUAUGUGUUUAGCUUCCCCGGCCUUAAUGGGGAAAACAGAUGCAGGGAAAGAAACAGUUUUUCUGGAUAAAGAACAGCCCUUGGGAGCAGAACAAAAGUGAAGAAACUGGUGGAGUUGGCGGAGGGGCGGUUAGGGGAGGGGGAAGGAAGGAACACAACUUAAUUAUGUCCGAAACAAUAUAGCUGAGCAGGUAGAGGUCAAGCCAUUAUAAGCUUUGAGUUCUACCUUGGGCUUUUCUGCUUUAUGAUUAGCCCUCCCCUGGAGAAUCACUUAAUUUUCCUGAGUGCCCAAAAUAAUAAUUCUGAUAAAUGGACAAAGCAUCAAAAUAAGAUAGAUAUACAUAGCUGAAAGGUUCUGUGGCAAAUGUAUGCAUCUUUAGGACCUUCAGGGGGUUGAUACACCAUGUGUUUUCAUGGAAGUCUUACUAUGGCUAUGCUCAGUAUCUGAUUUUGGGUUGAGCAAAUAAUAUGGCCUGCGUGGAGCUGUUUGGAGUUGGCAAGUUUGGGUUAAAUCAAGCAGUAAAAGGGACGAUAAAAAAGAUUUGGAGCAUACAUUCACCCUCUCCCAAACUACUGUUAACUCCUAAUUAACUAAGUAUAGAGUAUACAUGCUCUGUCUCUAGGAUGAUCUGUGGGCCACAGGAGCUGCCCUGUCACCAAGAGCCUGGGGUUUUCCAAAUUCUUCACAUCUUGGGAUGUGAGGGCACAGAGGGUUGAGGUUGAAAGGGAUGAAGAUGGGCACAGAGGGUUGAGGUUCUAUGCUGGCUUUGCUUUGCUGGGAGAAAAAGGUAGGGAGGUAGUAGAAUAAACUAGAAGCAACAGGCUUUCACUAACUCUUACUUGUUAACCUAAAUGUCUGGUUUAUUGGAAUACUCAGUUGAGCCACCGUUGGGAUGGUAGGUACAUUUCUGAAUUUCAUGUAUAAAUGCUGUUUAGGUCAACUAAAUUAGUCCCCCUCUCUGUCCCACCCCACUCCCAAGCUUUAUAGUAAAAAUCAGUUGUGCUUCUAACAGGCCUUUUUCAAUCUCUCUUCUGGUAGAAGAGAGACUAUGCCAAGUUGUCUCAAACUUAGGUUGUUUCAAAUUCAACUGCUCCCAUAUGUCCGAAUUCAGCCCUGGUCUCUGUGAGGUCAUUAGAUUCUGAGUCUAAGCCCUCCAUUUGCCUAAGAAGAUGACCGUGCUCUGAAAGACAUAUUGUUUUGCUUUAAUACUAUAAAUCCUGGAAGUUCAGGAGUUUCAUAUGAAAGCUAUGCAAUCGCUUUUUAAAAGAUAAAAUAUGCCCCUUUCUUUGCUGCCCUUGUGUCUGCGUGUGGGCAAGAUAUUUAAUUAUAAUGAAUAAAGCCAAAUGGUGGUCUAAGACUCUUAAAAUCAAAGUGGGAAUCAUGGCUGAAUUUCAUUAGCAAACAUAAAUACAAAUAGGCACAUCUUGUUUGCACCAUGCCAUGUGACUUUUCUCCUUUUGAUAAUUUCAUUCUAACUCUGAUAUUUCAGAGGACCUAAAUUAAACCAUAUGAUAUAUAGCACUGUAUAACAUGCAAAACUCAUCAUUAAACAUUUUUCUUUUGUAUACUUGCCCUAUGUUAUAAAUAUCCUGUCAGAAGCAGAGCCCUGAUUUAACAACAGUGGAGGGAGCCCUGCCCUUUAAAUAAGAGGUCUUCUCCGGCUGGCAGAAUGGGAAAAAAACAUAGUAUUAACUCUCAUUGUAGUCCAUGUAACCCAGAGCCCAUAAAUCUUGAGGAACUUGUCAUUUUAUGCCCGAUUUUCCCUAACUCUAUGCCAGUCUCUUCUUAUUUUAUUGAAAAUACUAACAUUGGACUUUUAUAAAUUCUUGAGUUAUUACCAAGUUGUUUUGGCAGUCUGAAUACAAAAAUCUCUAGAUUAAAUUUAGUUAUUAAAAGUUACCAUUCAUAAUUGCCCAAGUCAUUUCAAAUUAUGAGAUAUAUUAAGACUUUUUUGUUGUUGAGCAAAAUAAUUAAGUGGCUAAUAAAUACAACAUUGUAUUUUAGGAAAAAAAGGUUUUUUGUAAAUAUUAUCUUCAGCAAUUUUAUGAGACUAUGUAUAAAUUCUUUCCAUGACACUACAUGCACUUACAUACAUCUUUGUUUAAUAGUAACUUAACACCAAUAAUAUUAAACUUGUCUUCAGCUACUUUUAUAUUAAAGACAAUCAAAACAAAUGUCUCAAAUUAUUCCAAGCUGCAAACACAUAUAAGUAAACAUUUUAGGUUCACAUACUGUUACCAAAAAUUAGAAUCAAUAGUAGGUUUGUAAUAGAUAACAUCAAAUACUCUUUUUUUUACAAUCUUGGUUUUGUAGUCAUGUUACUCAACUGCAUUUUCAAGGUCUUA